UGAUAACCCAGCUCUUAGUGAGGAAAGUGGAAUUGUCAGAGAAGGUUACCCUGGCAACAGGGUCACCUGGCAGGUCCUGCGAUGAGGAGCCAGGCUGGGGCAGCGGGUGGCGUGAGCACAGUGAUGAUGAGGAAGGUGCAGGAGGUCAGUGAGUCCCUCAAGCUUCUCUGUGGCUUCCGUCAGCUCAAGACUAGCUGGACCUGGUUCAAACACUCGUGCUAUUUUGACGAUAUUUAUGGAUCAGAAGAAUAUGAUUUCCAUGGCAACUGCUCCAGGUUUUGAGCAAAUAUCAGCUUUGAAGGCAGCUAAUAAGAAAGGCACUUACAGAAACUGAAGUCACAUUCACACAGCCCUUCUAUACUAAGUACGUGCUACUGCAGAUGAAUGCUUCUAACAGUCACUUUGGUGAGUAUAAAAAGGGAUGUAGAUUUCUAGUUUGUUUUUAGUUUUCUUCAUCUUUAGAUUUGGAAGUCUAUUAAAAAAAAAAAAAAACAGGUAAUAUUUUGAAGCUCAUUUAAUCUAGGAAAAGUUACCUGGUCCAAUCCAUUUGCCCCUGGAAGCCAUGAUUCUGUGGUUAAUACUGAGUACUACAGAGAUUUUGUGAUUAAGAUAAAGGAAAAGGGCAAGAAAACUUAAUAUUUCUUGUACAUUGCAAACAUCUCAAAUAUCCUAAAUCCACUGGUUGUCCUCUCUGAGUUAAGCUGGUAGCUCUUCAGACUGGAUAUCUUAGGUUUGUC
rnacentral:lncRNA from 1 species